AAGUUGGAAACAAUGAAUUUCUCAAUUAUCAAAUAUAUAUGUGUGUUUGUGUAAACAUGCAUGCAUGAAUACGCACGUAUACACAUAUAUACCAUACUUUUUUGGAAAAAAUAUGGUGAGAGUACAGUUUGGAUUCUGCUCAGCCUUGUCCUUCUGAACUUAAAAAGGGAUAUGGAUCAUCUAGUUGUUUUUUUCUGGUCUUUAGCUAAUAUGGACUUUCUUCUCUUUGUGUUUUCCCUAUUAUUUGUCUUUUCUUUUGGACUCUUGAGAAGGGUGUAUUAGAGGUGAUGCUUUUCUUUUCUCAUUUACGCCUAUGUCCCCAAAAUACUUUUCCGUUGAGCACCAGAUAACACACAGGAUUCCUGCACAUGCUACAGAUAUGAUCCUUCUUCCAUUUUGCAUGGCGCACAUGAUACGUUGUAGUAGUGAGAAAACUGUGAACACUAAUUUUGCAUGUUGGUUUUAUAGGGAAUAUGUGGAUUGUCAAUUGAAGUGACAACUCAAUAUAUUUGAUGUAUUGAAUUGUUAAUUGGAAAGAAAUCUUAAAACUUGUCAAAAUCAUAAAAUGGUAUAAUUGUUGAAAUAUAUCUAAUGUAUUGAGAUCUAUCAAAUUACCUAAAGCAUCAUAUUAAUUGUGUCAUAUCGAGCAUCACCGUUGUAUGUACAAAUGACUUUUAGUUUCUAUACUUGUAAAGAUAUUUGUUUAAAUUUCUUCCUCUGAAACUUCAAACUAAUGCGUCUAGUUUUGUCUAUUUCCUUCCAGUGAAACACUGCUUAUAUUCUUUUUGCCGCAAGUUCUGAACUUCCUACUAUCACUACCUCAGCUUGCCGGUAUUAUACCAUGUCCAAGGCAUCGGCUCCCUAAGUUUGAUCCUAAGACUGGCUUAUUGACUGGAACAAAUGAUGGGACACUAGUGAACCUUUUCUUAAGGCAAUUUGGCAGAAUGUCAGAACAGUCCCUUUGUGUUGUGCUACUAGUCUUCCAGGUAAAUAUCUUUUUCUUUAUAUUUUUCCUUUU